rnacentral:tRNA from 1 species
UUUGCGAUUGGUUCGGCGGCGCUGACGGCGCUCGCGCUGCUGGCCGCGUAUGUUGAGGGCGUGCGGGUCGGCUUCGAUCGCUGGGCGCAGGAC